rnacentral:tRNA from 1 species
UGUGAGCUAGUGUUACUACGCACAUGUAAAUUUGAGUUACAAAGAGGAAGUCAACAGCUCCGCCCACAA